AAGCGUGUAUGAGGGAGCUCGGAGGACCGGGCUGAGAGGAUGGUCAAAUCCACCAUCGACCUCAUGAACCUGAUCUGGGUAAUACCAGCGAAGGGAAUACACGGUAGUAAAGC
rnacentral:ncRNA from 2 species